AGGAGACUAUGGAGGACUCACGGAGCUCUGACACCCCUCACCUGGAGGAGGUGGCUUCCCCCCACCCCCCACUCUGCCUGCACCACCUUUGCCUGGGGCGGCCAAUGCAUGGCAGUGGAGUCAGUAAUCGCCCUUGCUCCUCCCCAGGGUCAAACCCACUGGGGUCUGGGGAUUGAAAUUCUGAGAGGAGUGUAGGAGGAGAGUGUCUUCCCGAAGAAAAUGUAGGAAUGCAUUGGCUUCUAUCACAAAAAUCCUGGGAAUGUUCCUGAGAAGGGAUUUUGGAGAUGCUCGGCCUAGGACUGGCCCUCGGGAAGAUGACCCGACCUUUGUCCUGUGCAGCUGAGUGCUGAACACUGGUCAGCUCUGGAUAAAGCCUGAUGUCACCGAGCUGAUGGCGGGGCGUCUGCACUGAACACCUUCCAGCUUGGUGGGGGCACGGGAACCAGCUGUCCUCAUUAAAAGUGACCUGGAGUGAGAUGGAUUCUUCUGCCUAUACCUCCACGUGUGGGCUCCCUGAACACCCCCAUCGCCAUGGGCUCCCAAGAAGUAUUGCUUCUGGCUGCAGGGCUCACUGCAAUGCUGCGACAGGAGGUGACAGGCCAAGGCCAGCAGGUGACUGCUCUCCCCAGAGGCCCUGUCAGCUGGAAGCAGCUGGUUUCACAUAACAGAGACCCCAGGCCCAGGUCCCCUGGAUGCAGGAGGAUUUGCGGCUGCCCUUUUGGAAGAGGUAGGCUGACCAUGAGAACUGGCCAAAGGUGAGAAGGACGUGGAGAAGGUGUUGGAGGAGGGAAGUCAGACAUACUAGCAAUAGCCUGGCCUGCAGGGCUGUAGCUUUCACCUGUACUUCCUCCUGUUUGGUGUCAUCAUCACAAUCACGAUGGUGAUAAAAUGUCUUCUUUCCUCUAGGCAGGUGGUAAAGGUACUAUUUGGUGCACAGGUUGGAGAGUGCUGUGAUAAGAACCAUCAGAACAAGGGCAGGAAUGUGACCUCCCAGGUGAUCCUGGGAGGAUCCAGUGGAGCGUUUCAGAAUUCUGUGUCAAAAAAGAAGGCUGCGUGUUGACUGGGGUGGGGCUGUGCCUGUGUUUGGGGCCGCCCAUGGGUGUAGCAAACCCUUUUUUUUUUUUUGUAUUUGUCCUGCCUCCUCUCCUUCAGGGUCUGCUCCUUCCUCCUCGCGGCUCUGGGGGCUGCAUCUCGGAAUCCUGCCGGCCACUCCUCCGCUGCAGGGGUGGACAUGGGAACCAAGUGGGGCCUUUGGGAUGUCUUCAGCCCUCCCACAGCCACUGGCCAGCCUGCCUGCUGUCUUCCUGCCCCCCUCGCUCACUCCUCCUUCUCCUGGGCUGAACCACACCCAAAAGCUUGAUCCAGGACUGGGCUAGGUGACCGGUGCAAUCCUUAGAUGCCUCUCUUGGUUCCCACUGCCCUGCUGGUCUUGAGGCAGGUUGAGGGGGGAGUCACAGGCCAUCCCUGCAAGGAAAAGCAGAGAGGGCAAUUUGGGAAGGUGACAGAGGACCCUGUGGGACGUCGAGUCACAGCCUUGCUGGGCACAGUGACUGGCGUGCAUAGUGAGCUGCUUUCCCAAGCACUGCCACCCCUGGCUCUCAGAUAUGCUGCUGAAAGGGGUGACGGGCAGUGGGGGGCUUGGGACUCCGCCGAGGUGUCCUAGCUCCCAUCCCUAUCCCCAGGCCCAGGCCCAGGCCCCUCCAGCAUGAAAGGCUAGGGACCGCACUGCCAUGGGGUUUGCCAGGCCCCUGUCUCUUGGGAAGCCACCCCUCCCAGGGAAAAGCAGGGCUGAGGGCUGUUCAGGCUCUGCCACCACCUGCUCUGUGACUUCGGGCAGGCCACCAAUUCUUCUGAAAAACGGGAGUCACUGUGGGCACCAUCACGCCCGGGUACAGGACGCCCAGUGGCUCAGCUGCCCCAGCCAGGCUGCCCUGUCCUGGCCUCAGCACACCUCCCACAGCCACUGCAGGCAGCCCUGGACCUUCUCCUGCUGAGGCCUUACUGCCAAUCCCUCUGGGAGACCAGACACAACAGGCAGCGGUCUGGGUGACUCCCAGGAACCUGUCCUCCCUAGUGGCUGAGGCAGUAGGCUUGGCAGCAGGGACUCAGUGCCCUAGGAGGCAGGGCUCAUCCCACAAGUUGCCAUGGUAGCCCCUCCUCCUGCCCCUUACUCAUCAGCCAGGCUGUACCGACACGGGCUGCCCAGGCAGGGGGUGGCUCGCUGGACAAAGCUGGCCGUGCAGGCGCUCAGGCGUGCAGGGUAGCCAGUGCCCCGGCCAGGAAUGGACAGCCUCCAGGACACAGUGGCCCUGGACCAUGGGGGCUGCUGCCCUGCCCUCAGCAGGCUGGUUCCCAGAGGCUUUGGGACUGAGAUGUGGACUCUCUUUGCCCUUUCUGGACCCCUGGUAAGGAGGAGGAGCUGGGGGGCAGGUAGGGAGUGGAGGAAGCUGAGAGGCUGAGGGUGUCUGCCUUGCAGGCAGGAUCCAGAAAUGUGCUCACAUUUUCCCCAGAAACUGCCCAUGUUGACUGCCAGGUCCAGAGUCUGGGGACAGCAGGAUGGCUCCUGAAAGCUGUCUCUGGACAAUCCCCAGUGGCAGUGGGGCCUGACUUUGCUCAGCAGCAGGCAGCCCCCACACAGAAGGGGUGGGUGUGCCUCAGCUGGAAACCCACAAAAGCCUGAGUUGGAAGAUGGCUCCAGGACAAAUGGGACCCAGAGAUGCAUGAAGCCUGCAGCACCUUCGCAGGGGGAAGAAGGGGCCGGCUACCCAUUUCAUUUCCAAAGGGGAAAUUGUUUUAAAUACAUUUAUUUUUUCUGAUCAUGAAGAGGAAUAGGCUGGGCGUGCUGCCUCACGCCUGUUAUCUCAGCACUUUGGGAGGCCGAGCAGGGAGGAUCACCUGAGGUCAGGAGUUGGAGACCAGCCCGGCCAACAUGGAGAACCCCCCGACUCUACUAAAAAUACAAAAAUUAACCAGGCAUGGUGGCGGGCGCCUGUAAUUCCAGCUACUUGGGAGAGAGAGGCAGAGAAUCGCUUGAACCCGGGACGGGUAGGUUGCAGUGAGCCGAGAUCGCGCCACUGCACUCCAGCCUGGGCAACAAGGGCGAAACUCCGUCUC
rnacentral:lncRNA from 1 species